UCUUCUGUAUCAGAUGUCCUGCUUGCAUGAGGAGGAUGCUGUGAAGAGGCAUAAUCACCGAUAAAUUCAAGGCAAGAUGGUGUAAAGGUUUGGGACUUGCCCUCAGAGUGCCAGCGGACUGCUGCUACCUCUCCAGCUCAUUGUUCCUGAUUGCAUCAUUGAUGGUUAACCACUUGUCCAGCGCUGGCUUGGAGGAAAAGAUAUGUCAACAUAACUGCAGAUACAUCUGGCAGUGGGCAACUGAUUCCUCUUUUCUGUCUCGAGAGAGUUUGCAAAUGGCAUGUGUUCUUGAUGGUUCCUUGCAUCAUACUGAAAAAUUGUCCUGGUGCAACUUCGAAGUGAGGCUUUUCUUAUGACCGAUACAUUCAUCUGGUUUUCCUCCUGUGUGGCUUGUGCAGGAUUCUCCAGUGGCUGUGUGCCAAGUGGCUCUGAAGGUUUGGAUGCCGGAGGAAUGGGGCUUGUAAGACCUAUAAAAUAUGCCAUUCUUCAGUAAGCACGGUUGUGCUGAAAGGCUUUUUCUUUAUAAUUUGGCUCAAGUGACAGCUGAAAACAAAGGAAUGGGAGAAUGGGGAAGGCUCGGAGGUGACAAUAGCAGGAGAAACCAAGAAUAAACCAGCCAGAUUACAGCAUUGCUGCUCACCAUUUCAGCUCUAUUUCAACUUGAGGAAGGAGAAGCAAAACACAGAACAGGCAGUAACUUACCCCAUACACUGGGGCUGCAGUUUUAGAAAUGAAAAGAAAUACUGAACAUAUGUAUCAUCAUAUACAAUAGCAAAGACAAACACAGUGAUGUUUCAGGCUUUCUCUGUUGUGCUGUUGGCACGCAGCAGAGUAAUUACCACGUUAUCCAGCACAAUCUGAAUGGAACUGAGUGAAACUUAAUUAGCUCCUGUCUUUUAAGCGUUUUUUCAUCCACAACACUUGUAAUCUUUGGGGUCCUGCUGAGCAACUGUAAUAUUCUACAGAAAAUGCAAGCUGCUAGGGGAAUCCCAUUCCAAAAUCUGGUCUAGUUUACCAUCGCAUACUGUAAUUCUUGUACUAGUGGUGGUCUGUUUUUUGCUCUUUGCUUUCUUCUAGGAUAUCAUUACAUCCUUACUUUACAAUUAAUCUCCUAAAAUUGCAAAUUAGUUUCUUGCUCCAAGUGACAGACAUCGUGAAAUUGUCCUUUGGGCUUUUAGAAGGUGCUCUCAUUCAAGUUCAGAUUUACUGCUCAACUUGUACUGAGUAUGACUGAAAUGCUUCCAGAUCAUGCUAAUUAUGACAGAAAAAAUAUUUUCUUUCAAAAACAGCUUUAAAAAUCCACAAAAAAUGCUGGUGAAACUUUGAGUGCUUAAUUAAUCCUUUCUUCCCGUUUGUUUUGCAAACAUAUAGAAUAAACACCUGUUCUACUUAAAACUGCUGAUGAAACUCGCGUUACACAGCUUAAAUGCAUAUUUGGUGAGUCUGCAGUUUAAAUCAUGAGAUAAAACUAAAAUGAGGACAAAGCAGACAGCUUUUAAAGGGUAAAAGUUCAGAGAACCAAGUUUUACAAUGACUGAUGAAGACAAAGUUUUGUCUCACACAGGCUUCUUCAGCUCCAGGACAGGAGUAGUCACAAGAACAUUCUGUCAUUCAGAAGGCAUCAUCACUCUAAUGACAGCUGGUUUCCUUUUCCAUCUAUAUGCUUUGGAAUUGAGUGAACACUGAAACAGACCUCAUCUCAGUGCAGUUGGAGCAACCGAGUUUACAGAAUCCUCUUUUUCUUGGAAACCAUUUCCUUUUUGUCUGUUUUCAUUGGGUUCAUGAGUGCAUACACCACAACAAUGAUUCCUUUUGCCCAAGAUUUUGAGUAGCCAGGGUCCUUCCUGAAUAUGCUCCAAUGACAAAAUGCUCAGUGCAAACCAUUUGCUUACUCACCAUUGUUUUACCUCCACAGAUGGAAUCUCUAAGACGCUCUUCCUGGGUUUUAUUGCAGUUUUAGCUAUGGUGAAAUCCCCAACUACUUCACCUUCCCAGAUUUCUUGCUCAAAUUCCAGAUGUACUUAUCUUGAAUUCUUCUGAUCUUGUUAGUCAUUGUUUCUGUAAAUAGCUCUAGUAUUUCCUUCAUAUCAGUUCACCUAGAGUACAGUUCGGCCUUUCCUGACUAGAAACCAGUCCAUCCUGAUAAUGUUGUCCCUUCUAGCCAGCAUGGCUAGCCCAAAUAACCUACAUAUGUUAUCCUAGGUAGAAUGAGACUUUUUUUUUUCCUUAUGAAGUUAUCUCUGAUGCACUUAAAUUUAUGUUUAUGCUCUGUAAUCCCAUCUUCCUGAAGCACGGGGGAAUCUGAAAUGGGAGAGUAUCUUCCUGCUGCAGCCUCACUUACGCACGCUGUGCAAAGGCCUCUCACUUUCCUGGGCGCAGGUUGGAGCUGGGCUCUGUUAUUAUGUUGUUCCUGAGAUCUGCCUUUGUUUUCCUUUGAACUGCCUCCUACGUGCUGGCAGGCUCCCGAAGCAGUGCACAGAACGGUCUUUGCCCAGUGUUCAAACUGCAGAGCAACCCUAUAUUUACUUUGUUUUGUGUAAGG
rnacentral:lncRNA from 7 species